rnacentral:rRNA from 1 species
AUUGAACGCUGGCGGCAAGCCUAACACAUGCAAGUCGAACGAGUGGCGGACGGGUGAGUAAUGUCUGGGAAACUGCCUGCUGGAGGGGGAUAACUACUGGAAACGGUAGCUAAUACCGCAUACCAUCGGAUGUGCCAAGAUGGGAUUCGCUAGUAGGGGGGGUAAAGGCUCACCUAGGCGACGAUCCCUGGCUGGUCUGAGAGGAUGACCAGCAACACUGGAACUGAGACACGGGCCAGACUCCUACGGGAGGCAGCAGUGGGGAAUAUUGCACAAUGGGCGAAAGCCGGAGGCAGCCAUGCCGCGUGUAUGAAGAAGGCUUUCGGGUUGUAAAGUACUGUCAGCGGGGAGGCGUUACCCGCAGAAAAAGCACCGGCUAACUCCGUGCCAGCAGCCGCGGUAAUAC